GGGCUGCAAAGACUAGGGCGCCAGCGGCUGGGCGAAGAAGGAAAGGGGGGGAGUCUCUGGCUGGGCUGGGGCCGUAGCGACGUCCGACGCGAACCUGGGCCCCCCAAAGCUGCGGGGCGUUCGGUGUCGCCGAAGUAAACAUGCACCCUGAGCCCUCGGAGCCUGCGGCAGGUGGUGCAGCAGAGCUGGAUUGCGUGCGGGAGCCCGGCGUGGAGGAGUCUGCGGAAAUUAAUGAUCCUAAGGAAAUAUGUGUGGGUUCUUCUGACACAUCCUACCAAAGCCAGCAGAAACAGAGUGGUGAUAAUGGGUCAGGUGGUCACUUCGCACACCCAAAAGAAGACAGGGAAGAUCAGGGCCCCAGAAUGACUAAAAGUUCACUGCAAAAACUCUGCAAGCAGCACAAGCUUUAUAUUACCCCAGCAUUGAAUGAUACGCUGUAUUUACACUUUAAAGGUUUUGAUCGCAUUGAGAACCUGGAAGAGUACACAGGGCUGCGCUGUCUCUGGCUGCAGAGCAACGGAAUACAGAAAAUCGAAAACCUGGAGGCCCAAACCGAGUUGCGUUGCCUCUUCUUGCAAAUGAACUUGCUCCAUAAAAUUGAGAACUUGGAACCUUUGCAGAAACUGAAUACUCUUAACCUCAGCAACAAUUACAUCAAGACCAUUGAAAACCUCUCCUGCCUCCCAGUCCUGAACACGCUGCAGAUGGCCCACAAUCACCUGGAGACCGUGGAGGACAUUCAGCAUCUACAAGAGUGUUUGAGGCUUUCUGUCCUUGACCUUUCGCACAACAGGCUGAACGACCCGGAGAUCCUGAGCAUUCUGGAAGGCAUGCCCAAUUUGUGUGUACUGAAUUUGAUGGGAAACCCGGUUAUCAGACACAUUCCUAAUUAUAGAAGGACAGUCACUGUACGACUAAAGCACUUAACAUACCUGGAUGAUAGACCAGUGUUUCCAAAGGACAGAGCUUGUGCGGAGGCCUGGGCUAGGGGAGGGUACGCAGCUGAAAAGGAGGAGAGACAGCAGUGGGAGAGCAGGGAGCGGAAGAAGAUCACGGACAGCAUUGAAGCCUUGGCCAUGAUCAAGCAGCGGGCAGAGGAGAGGAAAAGACAGAGAGAGAGUCAGGAGAGAGGGGAGAUGACAUCUUCAGAUGAUGGUGAGAACGUGCCCACCAGUGCGGAAGGCAAGGAGGAGGCUCCCAGGGACAGAGAAACAAGGCAGAAGAUGGAGCUAUUUGUUAAGGAAAGCUUUGAGGCCAAGGACGAGCUCUACCCGGAAAAGCCAAGUGGAGGGGAGCCGCCUGUGGAGGCUCAAGGAGAGGAUGGAGGUGGAGAGCCAGAGGGGACCCUCCCAGCGGAGGUCCCACCAACCCCGCCACCUGUGGAGGUUAAAGGAGAGGGUGGAGAUCGAGAGCUGGAGGGGACCCUCCCAGCUGAGACCCUGCUACUGUCACCGCCUGUGGGGGUUAACGGAGAGGACAGAGAUCAAGAGCCGGAGGGGACCCUCCCAGCUGAGACCCUGCUACUGUCACUGCCUGUAGAGGUUAAAGGAGAGGAUGGAGAUCGAGAGCCGGAGGGGACCGUCCCAGCUGAGACCCUGCUACUGUCACUGCCUGUAGAGGUUAAAGGAGAGGAUGGAGAUCGAGAGCCGGAGGGGACCGUCCCAGCUGAGACCCUGCUACUGUCACUGCCUGUAGAGGUUAAAGGAGAGGAUGGAGAUCGAGAGCCGGAGGGGACCCUCCCAGCUGAGACCCUGCUACUGUCACUGCCUGUAGAGGUUAAAGGAGAGGAUGGAGAUCGAGAGCCGGAGGGGACCGUCCCAGCUGAGGCCCCGCCACCGCCGCCGCUGGGAGCUGCCAGGGAAGAGCCGACUCCCCAGGCUGCGGCCACUGAGGGUGUAUUCGUUACGGAACUUGAUGGAACGAGAACGGAAGAUUUAGAAACCAUUAGACUGGAGACAAAGGAGACAUUCUGCAUUGAUGACCUACCUGACUUGGAAGAUGAUGAUGAAGCAGGCACAGCUCUGGAAGACCAGGUUAAGAGUAUGUGCCUUCCGAAGAUUGAGGUCAUCUCGAGCUUGAGUGAUGACAGUGACCCUGAACUGGACCACAUGUCACUCCCUGUGCUGGAAAUCCUGCCCACAGACACUCCGUCAAAUAUAUUUGCAGUCUCUAAAGACGCAUCGAAGAAGGCUCGGGUGCCCUUCACAGACAUCUUUAAAAAAGAAGCUAAGAGGGCCUGGGAAAUCCAAAAACAAGACAUCAAGUCCCCAAGACCCCUGAUCCAGGAGCUCAGCGAUGAGGAUGCCUCUGGCCAGCCACUGAUGCCCCCCACCUGCCAAAGAGAUGCUGCACCACUCACUUCCAGUGGAGACAGGGACAGCGACUUCCUUGUAGCCUCUUCUCCGGGGGUCACCCAGGACAGACCACGCAGAUCCUCUGAAGUUCCUGAGUUCCGGAACCAUUCCUAAGUUCACGGCUCUGAAGCUGCCACUUGCUGGUAGCCAGCCUGGGCCAGAAAUUCGCCGAGCCAGCCUGCUCUUGGGCAGCCGAGUCUGACUUGCCGACUGAGAGCGCCGCCACACCCUAAGAGACGUGUGUUGGAGUUGCCCAGCCCAGUCCAGCCCAGCCCAGCUCUGCCCACGUGGGACCUCACUGCAUUCCCAGCGCCGAAAGCAUCAUAGUUUUCCCCAGUUGUAUGUAGCAUAAAUGGUUUAAUUAUAAAUGUCUCCUUUAGGCAUGAUAAACAUUUUAACACCCAUG